AAUCUCACUUUAGGCAGCACCCCGCUUACACCGAAAACAUCGACCUUCCACUUGAGAGCUGGUUGUGGAAAGCGAAGCCCUGAAUCCUCAGGAGUGCCUCCUUCCAGAGUGCCUGGGGCGGCUGCGCAGUGCAGAUAUACCUACUAAGAAGAUAGAAGACUUACUUUCAUCAUCUGAAUCAAAUCCAAAGAGUGCCUGACAUUUCUUUUGUGCAAGACAUCCCAGUGUGAUGCUGCUCCAGAAUCCAGGUCUGCACCUCCUGCUCCACCUCCAGCCACUUUGGAGGUUUCCCUCCCAUUGCCUUCUUCUGUCCAGGCACCUAAAGAAGCUUUUCUUCCUGUUGCCUCCACAAUCUGAUGACACUCUCUGUGGGAGGUGGUCCAAAGUAUCUCUCAGCAGCUCUGUUGCCAUGCUUUUUAGCAUAUUUAAUAACUUUUAGUUUAAAGAUUGCAGUGUAUAAAAACUGUUUUGACAUUUUCCAAGGGAUUUUUCAAUAAUUUCUCCUGCCUAAAAUGUACAGAGAGAAUUGUUGUGCUGUUCACCCUCUGGUAAUAAAGUCGGCAUCACCUGUCUUACCAAGUGGAUAACAAUACAUCAUUCUUUGUUUCAUUUCAUUGAAAUGAAAAUCAUUAGCCUAAACUGUUUUUGUUGCAAGUCCAUCAUAAAUUCAACAAAACCAAUGAUCAUUUCCAAGGUAUUAUUUCUCAUACAGAUAUUAUUACUGCUUUCUAGAGUUACAC